ensembl:lncRNA
UUGGGAUUUUGGGGUAAAAAUUGAGAAUUUUGGGGAGAAAUUGAGGAUUUUGGGUUAAAAAUGGGGAUUGGGGCAGGAUUUGGGAUAUUUGGGGGGUUUAGGACAGGAAGGAGAAUUUUAGGAUUGGGAUUUUGGGGAGAAAUUGAGGGUUUUGGGAUAAAAAUGAGGAGCAAAGGUGAGAUUUGGGGUUUAGUACAAGGAUGAGAAUUUUGGGGCAAGAAUUGAGGAUUUUGAGAGCAAAAAAAGGAAAAUUUAGGCUGGAAAAAAAAAGGGAAAAUUGGGAAUUCGAGCAGAGGGAGAAAUUGGGGUAGAAAAUCCCAAUUUGGGAUAGAAAAUCCCAAUUUGGGAUACAAAAUCCCAAUUUUGGGUACAAAAUCCCAAUUUUGGGGUAGAAAAUCCCAAUUUUGGGAAUAGAAAAUCCCAAUUUUGGGAUGGAAAUUGCCAUUUUUGGGUACAAAACCCCAAUUUUGGGGUAGAAAAAUCCCAAUUUGGGGUAGAAAACCCCAAUUUUGGGGUAGAAAUUGCCAUUUUUUUGGGUACAAAAUCCCCAUUUUGGGGUGGAAAUUGCCAUUUUUUUGGGUACAAAACCCCAAUUUUGGGGUGGAAAUUGCCAUUUUUGGUUACAAAAUCCCAUUUUUUGGGUACAAAACCCCAAUUUUGGGGUAGAAAUUGCCAUUUUUUUGGGUACAAACCCCAAUUUUGGGGUGGAAAUUGCCAUUUUUUUGGGUAGAAAAUCCCAAUUUUGGGGUAGAAAAUCCCAAUUUGGGGUACAAGGGCCCAAUUUUGGGGUAGAAAACCCCAAUUUUGGGGUGGCAAUUGCCAUUUUUUGGGUACAAAAUCCCAUUUUUGGGGUCCAAACCCCGAUUUUGGGGUGGCAAUUGCCAUUUUUUGGGUACAAAAUCCCAUUUUGGGGGUACAAACCCCCGAUUUUGGGGUGGCAAUUGCCAUUUUGGGGUACAAAACCCCAUUUUGGGGUCCAAACCCCGAUUUUGGGGUGGCAAUUGCCAUUUUUUGGGGUACAAAAUCCCAUUUUUGGGGUACAAACCCCGAUUUUGGGGUGGCAAUUGCCAUUUUUUGGGUACAAAAUCCCAAUUUGGGGUACAACAUCCCAAUUUUGGGGUGGCAAUUGCCAUUUUUGGGUACAAAAUCCCAUUUUUGGGUCCAAACCCCGGUUUUGGGGUGGCAAUUGCCAUUUUUUGGGUACAAAAUCCCAUUUUUGGGUCCAAACCCCGGUUUUGGGGUGGCAAUUGCCAUUUUCCCCUUGCAGGCGGUCGCCGUCCAUGGAGGAGGAGGAGAAGCCCCCCCGGGGGGGGGAGGACCGGCGGGGCCGGGCGAGGACGGGCGGGGGGGGAGCCGGGGGAGCCCCCCCGGAACCUGAGGGGUCCCUGCGGCCCAGCCAGGGGCUGCUGAAGGCCCUGCAGCGCCUGGUGAGUGGCGCCUUCACCUGGGGACAAGGUGUCCCCUGGGUGUCCCCAGACCCCCCCCUGAAGCCCCCCCGGCAGCGCUGGUGUUGGGGACCCCGGCCCGAGGGCGGCCCGGUGAGUGACCAGUUCACACCAGUUCAAACCAGUUCAGCAUCCCCGUCCCUCCCAGUCCAUCCCAGUCCCUCCCAGUUCAUCCCAGUCCCUCCCAGUCCAUCCCAGUUCAUCCCAGUCCAUCCCAGUCCAUCCCAGUCCAUCCCAUUUUAUCCCAGAUCCCUCCCAGUGCCCUCCCAGUCUCUCCCAGUAUAUCCCAGUUCAUUUCCCAGUCCCUCCCAGUUCAUCCCAAUCCCAUCCCAGUCCCUCCCAGUCCCUCCCAGUAUAUCGCAGUCCAUCCCAGUAUACCCCAGUAUAUCCCAGUAUAUCCCAGUUCCCUCCCAGUAUAUCCCAGUGCUCCCAGUCCCUCCCAAUCCCCUCCCAGUCCCUUCCAGUCCCUCCCAGUCCCUCCCAGUCCCUUCCAGUCCCUCCCAGUCCCUCCC